rnacentral:misc_RNA from 1 species
UAGUCACGCACACCCCACAACCACUAUAGCCCGUCUCUUCACAACCUUCACUUAAAGAUCUCGAUACUAGUUCCAGCAGCAGGUAUCAUACCUCUUCUCCACCCGUCCCGUCUCUCCUUACGCCGCACGGAACCAAGCACAGAGCGCAGACAGCACAACGACACGGCAAAAAAAAAGACGUAAACCAACAGCGACCAGAAGCAUCAGUGUCAUGUCUGUGUUCGGCGUCGAUUUCGGCAACGUCAACUCCACGGUGGCCAUCACCCGCUACGGCGGGGUGGACAUCGUGACAAACGAGGUCAGCAAGCGCGAGACGACCACCAUUGUUUCUUUCCUCGACGAUGAGCGGUUUAUCGGUGAGCAGGGGCUGGACCGCUACGUCCGCAAUGCUCAGAACACCGUCUUUUUCCUCAAGCGCUUCAUCGGCAUGCGCAUGGACGACCCCCAGCUCUCUCGGGAACUCAAGUUCCUGACGUGCAACAUCAUUGGCGACAAAUGUGGACGGCUUAUGUUUAGCGUCAACUACUGCGGCGAGGAGAAGCACUUCUACCCGGAGCAGGUGCUGGCCAUGAUGCUGCAGCGGCUGCGCAGCUACGUCAACGAGGCUGCCACGACGGACCCACGCGUGAAGGCAGACGUGCGCGACUUCGUGAUUACCGUGCCGUGCUACUACACCGCGGAGCAGCGCCGCCUCAUGUACCAGGCGGCUGAGGUGGCGGGACUGCACUGCAUGUCCCUCAUCAACGAGACAACUGCGUCAGCGGUGGACUACGGCAUUUUCCGCGGCGCCUCGCUGAAGGAGACGAUGGAGGAGGGGCAGGUGGUCGGCAUUCUCGACAUCGGAUAUGGCGCCACGGUUUUCUCCGUGUGCAAGUUCUGGCGCGGCAACUGCAAAAUCCUCGCCCGCACCUUCGACCGUAACACUGGCACUCGUGACUGCGACUACCUGCUCUACGAGCACAUGCUGAAUGAAGUGAAGUCCCGCUACAAUGUCGACGUCUCGCAGAACAAGCGCGCUCGCUUGCGCCUGCUGCAGGCGUGCGAGCGGCUCAAAUACCUCCUGUCUGCGAACCAAUCGGCGCCGCUGAACGUCGAGAACUUGAUGGACAUCGACGUCAGCAUUCCAGUCUUCGAGCGUGCCACCAUGGAGUCGCUCUGCCAGGAUGUUCUCCACUCCAUCAAGUCCGUGAUCGAGCGCGGCUUUGCCGAGGCGGGCGUCAGCCGCGAUGACUUCCACUCCAUUGAGAUGAUCGGCGGUGGCUGCCGUAUUCCGAUGAUGAAGAGGCUGGUGGAGGAGGUGCUGGGCCGCGGGCCCAGCUUCACUUUGAACGCGUCUGAGUCUACGGCACGCGGGUGCGCGAUUGUGGCGGCCAUGCUCUCGCCGAAGUUCCAGGUGCGCGAGUUCAAGGUAUCGGAGCUGCCAACGUACCCGAUUUUGCUGGGCUACCACGCCGAGAACCCACGCUCCCCCAGCUCCGUGCCUUUCCUGCCGCAGGUGAACAAGGUCGUGAAGCUGCUGGGGGCGGCAGACAGCUACCCGAAGAAGCUGGACGUGCGCUUCCCGUGCUCGAGUGCGCCGAAGAUCUACGCCUUCUACGAUUACGAAAACGAGGGGGUUAAGGAGAUUGUGCAGCCGUGCAACUACAUCAUUGGUGAGUGGGAGAUGGGCUUGCCUUCUAAGGCGAAGGGUGCGGUGAACGAGAUGCGCGUCCGUAUCUGCAUCCAGCCAGAUGGUGUGGUGGAGUUGGAGAAGGCAGAGGCGAUCGACGUGUACGAGGUCGAGGAGGCGCCGGACGCUACCCCUGCCGCCGCGAACGGCGAGGGCCCGGGGAAGGAGAACGAGGAGGCGCUGGCCGAGCCGCCCAAGCCGUCCAAGCCGGUCAAGAAGACGAAGGAGGCUGCGAUUGUCGUGUCAGUGAAGCCAAACGUGGAGAUCCUUGGACACAGCGGCGAGUCUGUGCUGCUUUUCCGCAAGGCCGAGUCGGAAAUGUACGAGCGCGACUCCCGCAUCGUUCGCACGCGCAUAAAGAAGAACGAGCUGGAAAGCUACAUUCUCGACUUUCGCCCUCGUCUCUCGUCGGGUGGUAUGCUGAUCGAGUACGCCGCGCCGGAUGCGGCCGCCAACUUUGUGCGCCAGUGCGAUGAGGAUGAGCAGUGGCUCUACGAAGACGGCGAGUUUUCCACAUUCGAGGAGUACGAGCGCCGCGUACAGACGCUGCGUGCCAUCGGCGACGCCGCGUACAACCGCCUUCGCACGCGCGAGGAGGUCGAGUUCGCGGCGAAGGGUAUCCACACUCGCAUUAUGGCUGCCAAACAGAAGGCGCUCGACUUCAUUGGUAAGAAGGAGCACAUCACCGAGGAGGAGCUGAAAGAGGCUGCGGCCACGGCCGAGCAGGCGAAGGCGUGGGUGGACCAACAGGUUGCGGCGAUGCUGGCGGCUCCCAAGACGCAGGACACGACGCUGUCGAAAGCGGACCUCGAGAAGAAGGCGUCGGAGGUGGAGCAUGGCAUCAACAAAGUCAUGUCGAAGCCGGCCCCGCCGAAGCCAAAGGAGAGCAAGGAGCCGGAGAAUGCUGAGGAGGAUCUGGCAGCUGAGGCGGCGGCGGGUGCGGAGGCCGAGCCCCAACAUCAGGCUUCUGAUGAAGUGCCUGCGCCGACGAACGCACCGGAGCUCGAUUAAGCGAUAAGGGGGGGGGUGGUGUCGACAGGGGAGGGAGGGUGGAAGGCCAGAUGUGUGAUGGCAGGGGUGCCGCCUGCGUGGGUGCGCAUGCCCGUCGCACUUCACUACGCACGUUGUCCUCUGCCCGCCUCAUCCUUUCCCUCCUCUCCUUGACAUCCCUCUGCCGUUUUUCUAUCACGGCGGCACGCAUGCGAGCACACGCGAAAUCUUUCCCCGCUCGGACACGCACAUGCAUUCACUCGCCGUAUUCUUGGGGUUCUCUUUCUUUCUCCUUUGUGUUUUUUUUUGUUUUCUCGUAUUGCCGCUUCUCUUUCUAUUAUUAUUUCGUGUCGUGUGCGUGUGCGUGCGUGUCUGUGUGUGUGUGCGCGUGUCUUGGUGUAUUCGAGCCCUGCCCCGUCUUUAUCAAACACCUUAGCGGCUGUCCGUUCGUCUUUUUCCUUCCCUUUUCUCAUGUUGCCCCCUCCUUUUUUAGCUUCCUUCUGAUUGUGCAGAUGCUUUCUGUUUCUAUACCUCCACCCAUCCCCCACCCUCUCUUCCGCCGCUCUUCGAUAUGUGCUGCUGCUGCUAUGUGUGUGUGUGUGUGUGGAGGCGGUGGGGGUGGGGUGUGACGGUGCGAAGAAGGGAAGACGAGCCCAUGACGCAUGAGGAGGGGAGCCGUGGGCGGGAGCGGGUUAUCGGGGCUGUUAUCGUGGGCGUUGUUCUCCUUGCAAUUUAGUUUGGACGAGCGUGCGUGGGUGUGGAGGAAUGGGAGAGAGCUGCUUAAUGCGGACGCGCGUGGGAGCCGAUUCUUGUGCCCCCCACCCCUCCCUAUUGAGCACUCUUAUAAUUCUUUUUAUGCUUGGUUAUGCGCGAAUGCGUACUCGAGCUUUACACAUGCGCGCUUGCGCGCAGGACACGGUUACCGGAUUACGUCAGUGAGGCACUAGUUUGGUGCGUGCGCAAUAAUGCAUCUCUAUGUGUGCUUGUGUGUGUGCAUGUACACCCCCUUUCCCCAUGUCAACUCUGCACCGCCGCGCGUCUCGCGGUCACUCUCCAUGGAACAGGCACCGCGUCCCCCUCACUCGCUCCCGUGUGUGUUUCUCGUCUCUGCUGGGAGAGGCGGCACACGCUCGCGUAUUCGAUGCUACACGCCUUUCUCCUUUCCGUUUGCUCUCUCACCUUCUUGGGAGGCACCCCUCUUUGUUUGCCCCCCCCCCCCCCCCCCCCCCCCCACUCCCGUUGCUGGUGUGUGCGCGUGCGUGUGCGCCCUCUUUUUCUCUUGCGAGAUGAUCUCUCUGUCACACACACACACACACACACACACGUUUUUCGGGUUGGCUCUAAAGUGUCAUGUGCUCCCCUCUUUGAUAUCUUCUGUUGGUCUCUUUUUUUUGUUCUGCCUGCCCGCCCUUUUUUUUUGUGUGCGUGUGUGUGUGCCUGAUAAAUGGGGGGUGGGGUGGGGGGUGGGGAACAGACACAUGCCUGUGCCCGCGUACGACGCGGAUGAUGAUGACUCCACUCAGUGUCUCCUCUGAAGCGCCGCUCUCUGCCCUCGCCUUGUUUGUUGUCCAGAAGAAAAAGAGACGAUGUUUUCUGCCCCCCCCCCCCCCCCCCCCCCCAUUUAUCAGACACAAAGGCAAGGAGAAAAAAGGAUCUCAUAACACAUGUCUAUCUAUCUAUAGAUGGAGAUCGAUAUAGAAUUAACGAGAGAAAGCGACACACACAGAGAGAGAGAGAGAGACAAAACAUAAGCAUAUACACAGAUACUCACCCACACCCACCCACCCACACGCACGCACACACGCAACGAUAUCCAGCGAAAUGGCUGUGUGGGUUUUUGUGUUCCGUUUGGUCAGUGAGACGCUCCGUGUUAUUUCGCCCCGCCUCUCUCUCUCCUCUCCUUUUUUUCUUUCGAACCUCUGAGUGGUGAUGACAAGGCGCGAGUUUGUACCCCGUUUUUCGUUAUUGGUGGAAUGCAUGUGCGUGUGUAUGUGCGUCGGCAUGCAUCUGUAUCCGCAUCUCCAAGGCUCCGCUACAUGGUUUGCAUUUUCGGCAUGCUUUCCAAAGCUGAUCUUCAGCCUAGAGGACGCGAAUGGAAGCGAGGCCAACGGAGUCGAUAAGGUGUGUGGUGACGUUGGGGAGUAGUGUGUGUGUGUGGGAAGGGGGACUGAUAGAGAUGGCGCUGGCUGCGGCACUCUUCAAGAGCCACGCUGAUGAACGCACCCAACACACCCAACACACAUACACAUGCACAUACAUGCGUACGAGAGAAGAGAGCACGG